CCAAUAGCGUAUAUUAAAGUUGUUGCAGUUAAAAAGCUCGUAGUUGAACUUCGGGAUUAGUAGGUUGGUCGUGCCUCUGGUAUGUACUGGCUUUACUGGUUCCUCCUUCUUGAAGAACUGUAAUGUCAUUAAUUUGGUGUUGCAGGGAAACAGGACUGUUACUUUGAAAAAAUUAGAGUGUUUAAAGCAGGCUAACGCCUGAAUACAUUAGCAUGGAAUAAUGAAAUAGGACGUUUGAUCCUAUUUUGUUGGUUUCUAGGAUUGACGUAAUGAUUAAUAGGGAUAGUUGGGGGCAUUAGUAUUCAAUUGUCAGAGGUGAAAUUCUUGGAUUUAUUGAAGACUAACUACUGCGAAAGCAUUUGCCAAGGAUGUUUUCAUUAAUCAAGAACGAAAGUUAGGGGAUCGAAGACGAUCAGAUACCGUCGUAGUCUUAACCAUAAACUAUGCCGACUAGGGAUCGGAUGAUGUUAAUUUUUUAAUGACUCACUCGGCGCCUUACG
rnacentral:rRNA from 1 species